CUUCCCUGAGCUCCUCCCUUCCCCGUCAACACACCUCUCUGUGCUCUCCUCCCAUCUCACUUCCUCCUCUCUUCCCUGAGCUCCCUCCCUUCCCCGUCUACACACCUCUCUGUGCUCUCCUCCCAUCUCACUUCCUCCUCUCUUCCCUGAGCUCCUCCCUUUCCCGUCAACACACCUCUCUGUGCUCUCCUCCCAUCUCACUUCCUCCUAUCUUCCCUGGAUCCGUUCCUUCCAUUCACCAAUCACCUCCCACAAAUAGGUCAGGAGCUGGUGGGGUUGUUAAAGUGGAACUGCAUUGAUUUAUGCAGUAUGGGAUUUUACGAAGCAUGUUCCAACAGCUCAAAAUCCAAAACGGCCAGUGGUAACUAAAAAUGACGUGCACAUUCCAGUUGACCGAUAGGGCACAGCCAUCUUGAGCGUCACGACCAUGGUCAAUGGCAAUCAGUGUCGGGACAAUGGCUUGUAGCUACGAAGCGCCAAAGUCCAUCUGUUGCCCUGGAUUCUGGAUUUCCAGUGCACACUUCAUUGACGAGAAUUAGAAGAGAAAGUUCAAUGCCUCUGGGAUGCAAACAAUGUUUUCAGAUUGGCUGCAACUUCGGAAUAAACGCGUGGUCUUGUAGCCAGCAAAUGGGCAUUGUGGAUUGCGUCAGGAUCUGUAUAAUUCAAUCGCAGCAGCCAGAGAUAUACUUUAGUGCUUUUAAACAACUGGUUAGUUAACUAUUUUGUCACCUCUGGGGCUAACUAAUCUCUAUGGGCAAAACUAUAUUUCCUGGUUUAAACGGAAACAGCGAUUGGACCACCGCAACGAAUGGGUUGAAAUGCAUAUGCCUUGGGAUGAACAGGGACCAUUUCAAUGAGUCAGUCUUCUCCCAUUUCAAAAAGUACCACCGUAGAUGUGCGGCGUUGAGACGAGACGCAGUCGUGGAGGUCAUUUCAAAAAUGAUGAUGCAACUCGCGUUUCAUGUACAUAUUAGGCAUUACAGAACAUACAAUAUGAAUUUUUAUGGUAUUUUCUAUUAUUAAAUAUACAUAUCACAACUUGUUAUGUCUUAGUUGGUAGAGAAUAGUGCUUGCAAUGCCAGCGUUGUGGUUUCAAUUCCCACAGGGGACAGAAUGAGAAUGAACAAGUACGAAAACAUAAUGCAGUCACUACUGUAAGUCACUGAGGAUAAGAGCAUCUGUUAAAUGACUAAAAUGGAAAUUUGAAGUGAGAGUGAGAUGGAAGGCUCAGAGCAGGCAGAGCUCUCUCUCAUCGACUCAGGAUCUGAGGGACGCCGGGUCUGUGAGACGCCAAUUUAACAGGCUGAGCAGUAAAUACAUACACGCAACACACCUGUCAGGUCUCCGUGGAAGCCUGCCUCUGUUCCUCCGCUCUGCUCAUCUGACUGUUGUAGGACACGGAGACCAAAGGGAGGCAGGAGCAUUGGCUAGAAUCCCUGUUCUCACCGCCAGGACUCCUGUUGGGGUCAGGGACUGACACAGAAAAACACAAGCACAAUGUACACACACAUGCUCUCACAUACAAUAUUAUAGCAUGCACGAACGCGCGCACACCCAUACACACACCCAUACACACACGCAUACACACACCCAUACACACACCCAUACACACACGCAUACACACACGCAUUCACACACCCAUACACACACCCAUACACACAAAGCACUGAUGGGGACACAAACACACAUAGUUAAAGACAAACGGAGGCUAUUUUAGUGCUCUCUGCGUAUGUGUAGGAACAAAAGAACAGGUUGGUACGUCAGAAAGACACCCAAAGAUAUAAACAAGAAAAAAGACAGUCCUUCAAUAAGUAGGAGACAAAGAGGAAGAGAACAGGACAGAAAGUGAGUGAGGGGGGAUUUGGAGAGGGAGAGAGAGACCAAGGUUGCUGGAUGAGGGAGAGAGAGACCAAGGUUGCUGGAUGAGGGAGAGAGAGAGACCACGGUUUGCUGGAUGAGGGAGAAAGAGAGAGACCAAGGUUGCUGGAUGAGGGAGAGAGAGACCAAGGUUGCUGGAUGAGGGAGAGAGAGAGACCACGGUUUGCUGGAUGAGGGAGAAAGAGAGAGACCAAGGUUGCUGGAUGAGGGAGAGAGAGACCAAGGUUGCUGGAUGAGGGAGAGAGAGAGACCAAGGUUUGCUGGAUGAGGGAGAAAGAGAGAGACCAAGGUUGCUGGAUAAGGGAGAGAGAGACCAAGGUUGCUGGAUGAGGGACAGAGAGAGAGACUAAGGUUUGCUGGAUGAGGGAGAGAGAGAGAGACCAAGGUUGCUGGAUGAGGGAAAGAGAGAGAGACCAAGGUUGCUGGAUGAGGGAAAGAGAGAGAGACCAAGGUUUGCUGGAUGAGGGAGAGAGAGAGAGACCAAGGUUUGCUGGAUGAGGGAGAGAGAGAGACCAAGGUUUGCUGGAUGAGGGAGAGAGAGAGAGAGACCAAGGUUGCUGGAUGAGCGACAGAGAGAGAGAUGCAGCAGAUGAUAGGAAAGAUAAAACAGACACCAGCACAAUUAGGCGUUCCUGCUGUGUCUCUCACUGAAGCUGGUUCACUGGCCAGCUGUAAGCUCCAGCCUCCCCUACUGCACACUGCAGAUAGCUUCAUGACGGCUCUGUGCACAACUGCGCAUACACACACACACACACAACAGCCCCAGCACACACAUUGCAGCGUUCAAGUUAGCUCAGAGCAGACACUGCAGCUUUCAUGUUUACACAGUUCAGUCCUGCAAACAUGCGCACACACACACACACAUACACACACACACACACACACAUAUAUUCUUUCUGCAGUACUGAUAGCGCUGGGGCGUUCUCCUUCAGCAAGCAUGAGUACACACAGUACAGAGGUAGAAAGACAGGAGCGAGAGAGGGAGAGAAAGAGGUAGAGAAAAAGAGGGGGAGGUAGAGUGGGAGGCAAAUGAAGAGAAGAGACACAGACACACUGCACCUGCAGAAAACACAAGUAUACACCCACACAGUUGAAGAGCAUGCUGAACAUUAUCUUUGUGUCCUUGCUUUGCAGUGAACAGCUCUAAUGGGUGGUUUGUAUGUGUCCUCCAGGCUUUGUAAAUAGAACCACCACCCAGGUCCAGUGAGAAUCACCUAUGCAGCGUGACAGCCAGGACAUCCCGCCUCCAACCACAGCUGACCAUGAGGAUGAGUCAUGAGAGGACAUCAUGACAGACAAACGCAUCAGCCAAUCGGGACGUAGGGGCUCCUCUUAGGCACCGAUGAUUGCAGCAAUACAGGCACAGGACAGCAGGUCCAUUAGAGAAACCCACAUAGCCCCGGCAACAGCCCAUGAUAACCAGACAGACAGACAGACUGACUGACUGCAGUGUGUUCACAGGCUUUCCACAGCUCUGUCUGUUUCUGACGUCUAGAUACAUGACAGCCAUGGUUACUUAGAGACCAGCCCUCCACGGAGAGAGGGGGACGCAGUGUACUGCUCAGCAUCUGGAAUGGUCCCUAUCAUUCUUGGACAACUGGUGAACUGUGAUUGGUCAGACCAGGUCCUCUGUGGCUACGCUGUCUGAGUUCCAAGUGUGUGUGUAUGUCGGGGGUGUGUGUGUGUGUGUGGGUGUGUGUGUGUGAGAAGAGAGCGUAUCAAGAUGUCAUGCGUCAUAAGAUGCCGCCCCUCCACUGGAUGUAUUUUAAUGUGCGCUUAAGUGUUAUACAAUUGUACAUGGCGUGCUUCAACAGGUUCUAAAUAUGAUUAUGAUAUUGAGAGAAAAAAAAUAACAGUAUUUUAAUAUAACGCUCUUCUUCCGAGAUGUAUUUGGAUGUGCAUAUUAUGGCUAUACGACCCCACUGAGUCAAUGUGGAUAUCUGUCCUGCUUUGUGUUCAAUAAAAAAAAAAGAUAGGAUAAAAAAAUAAUAAUAAUCCACAUCAAUAGCCACACCAUCGUAGUACUUAGAACACAGGCCUAAUAUGCUGCUUCAUUCUGAGUGGGUUGUGAGCUGGUGUGGAUAUUGGGUCAAAGUUCACGCAGUCAAAGUUCAGCCAAUGUGCACACAUAACAUGAUGCACAGUAGAUGCCACAUCACCAUGAAGGUGAAGGAAAGGUCAGGCCCUAGGGCCCGGGCUAAUGUCCUCUCUCACGGUACAUCUCAUCACAGACCCCCAUUGAUAUCGCCGCUGUUCUCCAUCACCGAAUGCAAGGCUGCUUUUACCAUAGAAGUAACUGGGACACGACUCGGAACGGAUUCUUAGCACUGUCUCUAUCCUCCCAGUGUGUUCGUAACGUAGCCUCCAUCUAACUACAGCAUCCGGUCAGCUGACACACUCAGCGAGCAUCCAGACAGGAGCAAGUCACCCCACCGCCAAACCUCUCGUUGUUCUAUUGCUCUCAUUAUUUAAUGGUGUACAUAGUAUUUGACGCUGUUUAAAUGGAAGACGUGAUGUACUAAUAUAAUUGUGUAUAGUAUUUCCUAGAGAUGUUUAUUUUCUAUGAAAUGUUAUUGCUUAUAAAAUGUUAUUAAAAGAAUCCAUAAAAAAUUAAAAGACUUUUGGGAAUGUCACUGGUUCUAAGUUGAGCAUGCAGUUUCUUUUUCAUGUUUCUCUUGUUUUAAAUCGAUGACACUACAUCACUUUGUUUGAAAUGUUUUUGUAACGCCGAUGUCAAAUAUACCAGCACCUUUCAAUGCUGCUCAGACCAAG
ensembl:lncRNA